AGAACUUUGAAGAGAGAGUUCAAGAGUACGUGAAACCGUUCAGGGGUAAACCUGAGGAACCCGAAAGAUCGAAUGGGGAGAUUCAACGUCAGCGACUCUGGCCUCACGACGGCGAGUGAUGCCUCGGGGACUUCGGUAACCGUGGGCACGCAGUCGUUGUGCAAGUCCGGUGGCGUCGGCGUGCACUUCUCCUCUAGUAGGACGUCGCGACCCGUUGGGUGCCGGUCUAAGGCCCGGGUGGUAGCCUGCCUCGUCGCUUCGGCGCAUCGAGGCAGACCCCCGGUCGCCAGUAGCCGGCUGCCCGGCGGUACUCGCAUGGUAUCGGGCCGCAAAAUCGAACUGCGUCGGGCCCGUCGCAAGCGCGAUCAGUGUUUCACGGAGGUCGGACCUAGCGCCGUCCCCGUGCCUGGUCAGCUGUUGGUUGACGGUGUUCUCCGACUGGCCAUUGAACGUACGAUACCGGUCGGCGACGCUACUGCUUUGGGUAAUCUCAGGACCCGUCUUG
rnacentral:rRNA from 1 species